ensembl:lncRNA
GGCCACCAUACUUUCCUGCCCGGUUAAGGGGGUCCCCCCGAGACAAAUAUCCCAAAAUCGGCCCGAUCGGACCCUCGCGAGCCGUGUCCACGAAACCGCUAGGCCAAACCCAUUCAAAUAAAUUGCAGGUGGGAUUUUUUUAGAAACGUCCCAGGAGCCCGAAACUUGGCUCGGUGGCUCCUGGGGGCCCCCAGAGCGUGCAGUCAAAAGCGCGGGGCCCUAGUGCGAUGCACUUUUUUUCGCAAGGUCCUACGGCUACGUGCUUCGGGGCCUCGGGUGAGGGGCCCCUGAGAUGCCAGAAUCUCAAAUCUCGGGGCCCUAUGACCUUUAGUCUCCGAACGGUGAACGUCCCACCUCCAAUUUAAACGCGUACCAGUUUGGUGGAAGUGCGCUCCCUUUUAUGACCUUUUGACCCCUAAAGAUGGUCGUUUGGCCACCAUACUUUCUCGCCCGGUUAAGGGGGUCCCCCCGAGACAAAUAUCCGAAAUUCGGCCCGAUCGGACCCUCGC